AGGUGAAAGAGCUUAUGAUCCUAAGCACUUCCAUAAUAGGGUCAGUAGAAUCAUGAUCGAUGAUCAUAAUGUCCCCACUCUACGGGAGAUGGUAGCAUUCUCCAAGGAAGUGUUGGAGUGGAUGGCUCAAGAUUCUGAAAACAUCGUAGUGAUUCACUGUAAAGGAGGCAAAGAAUAGAUAUGUUGGAUAUUUUGCACAAGUGAAACAUAGCUACAACUGGAAUCUCCCUCCAAGAAAAACACUGUUUAUAAAAAGAUUCGUUAUUUAUUCGAUUCAUGGUGUUGGAACAGGCGAUGGAUAUGAUCUAAAAGUCCAAAUAGUAAUGAAGAAAAAGAUUGUCUUUUCCUGUACUUCCUUAAAGAAUUGUCGGGUAUUUCAUGACACUGAAACAGACAGGGUAAUAACUGAUGUGUUCAACUGUCCACCUCUGUAUGAUGAUGUGAAAGUGCAAGCUUCCUCUUCAAGAGAAGAGGGCAGCACACCUCGCAGGGCUAACUGGAAGGGGGAGCCAUCCAGGAGACCUGUGCUCAACUGAUGGGUGGGGAGCAAUAGCGAGAACGAGGGAGGGACCUGAGAGUGGAAGCCUUUAUUGGGAUGUAAGGUGUUACCUGAGCAGGUUUCCUACGGGGAGGUCUAACUGGUGGAUUUAAUGCAAGCAGUCAUGAGUUCCAUGGAGUCAUGCUGUGACUGAGAGGUGGUCAUUGAUAUAUCCACAUGGUCCAUGCAGAGUACGGGGGUCUGUAGGGAGGUUAUAUCUAGCUGUCCCAUAAUGAAGUAGUCACCAACAGAAGGUUGUAUAAGGCAGAUACUGGGAUCAGUCACAUUGAGAAACCUGGAGGAGGUGAACUGGAAACUGUCAAGGGUGACUGAACCCUGCUUCUGAUAUCAGAAAGUCCAAUUUAUAUUUGAAAGGGAUGCUGAGGCACAAAAAAAUUGUAAGAAUUCACUACAAAAAUACUUGGCUAUAUAUAAGCAUAGGUCCUUAGUAGAUUCUGUUUAGCACUAUCUAAACCAGAUUCAAAUUUCAGCAUUUAAAUUAAAUAUCUAUCAUGGAAAAUAAACUAUUCCUUGAAAAUUUUGGUAGAAACAGCAAGAGAAAGCAAUAGCAUUUUCUUAAGCCUCCUCCUCUGUGUCUUGAGUGUGUUAUUAUAGAAUGCAGAGUGCUACCUAUUGAAUGGUUAUAAUUAUUUGAUAAAUAUAUAAAGGAAUAAAGGAAGGAACUUUGAUUUCUUUGGAAUGAUUAGUUCUUGGCAUCAAUUUUACUUUUAAAAUAUUUUUUUUUCUUUUUAGGAUUUUCCUAAAUACUAUCACAACUACCCUUUUUUCUUCUGGUUUAACACAUCUUUAAUACAAAAUAACGGGUAUGGAUAUAAUAUCAACCCAUAGAAACAACCUAAUCUUCAAUGUCUAUGUAUAAGAUGUAAUGGCAAGUCUUUUGCUGGUUGUCAUAAGCUUAAUUUAUAGAAAACAAAAAAUCCUUGAGCCACCAUUGUUCAUUGCCUUACUCCUUUUACGUUGGCUAUUUUAAAAAUACAGUUGUUCUUGAGACCCCCAGUUGCAGUAUCCUCAAGGUCCAUGCCAUAGGACUGUGUUAUGAGCUCAAAAGUAUUAUAAUCAGAUCUUAAGUGUGGAAGUAAAUUCCUCCCAGAGAAGUUCAAUAUGAAUCUGCUCAGUACCUUCAACAUGUCAGGUCCUCAGUAGGUGCUGAUUUACCAAUGACGAACCACCACCAAAUUUUGUGCUAAAGUAAGGGAGGACCUAGGGAAGCUUCAGCUAGCUGAAAAGCUGACUGACACACUUAUAUCUAGGAGAAGUUACAAGACACAGUAAGUAUUAAGAAAUACAGCUAAAAAAUCAUUAAAAUUGGUAGUCUCCCAUUUAAACAUGGGUUUCUAAUAACUGAAUUGGGAAAACUUUCUUAAAAACUAUUAAUUGGAGGCUGGGUGUGGUGGCUCAUGCCUGUAAUCCUAGCACUUUGGGAGGCUGAGGCGGGCGGAUCACCUAAGGUUGGAAGUUCGAGACUAGCCUGGCCAACAUGGUAAAACUCCGUCUCUACUAAAAAUACAAAAAUCAGCCAGGCGUGGUGGCACAUGCCUGUAAUCCCAGCUACUCAGGAGGCUGAGCCAGUAGAAUCGCUUGAACCCAGGAGGCAGAUUGCAGUGAGCCGAGAUCGCACCACUACACUCCAGCCUGGGCGACAGAGUGAGACUCUGUCUAAAGAAAAAAGCAAAAAAACAGAACAACUAUUACUUGGAUUUGGAGAUUAUUGUUCCCAGAAAACCUUCUGCCAUAUUUGGAAACUUAUUUCUCAGUCUAGAAGUUCUCCACUUUAAGUAGCAUUUGUUCUGUGCUGGUGAAAAACUGAGAUUUUUUUGUAUUAACCAUACUCUUCAAUACAAAAAGAGAAAAUAUUUUUAAAAUGCUUCAGGUCACAGUUGAGGCAGUUGCUAUGAUUGCAUGUGGCAUGAAUUGGUAGUUAUUGUUACAACCAGUUCUAGUCUUUUCUUCAAAUCUGAGCUGGAUCUAAUAACUCCUUAAGUCCAGCAAGGCAACAGUAAAUUAAACCUCUGGUCUACACACUUGCAAUACAUACACAUUUAAUAGAUUUUGAUAGAGUGAACUUUGGAUUGGAUGGAAAUUUUUUAAAAAUUUGUUUCUUGGAUGCAUACAAACAAUAAGCUUUGACUCCUAACAUGAGCAAAGUCCCUCAAUUGUGAGAGCUGGGUGGAGCUUCAUUUGUUGCUGCUCCUCAAAUUGAUUCUUGGUAAAGGAUACAGAUUUUUCCUUUGAAACACCAUGUUCAUUUUGGGGAAGCAAUAAGUUAGAUCACCUUUAUUUUCACUUUUAUAUAAAUUUCUAAAGAUUUCUGUAAUAUUUAAAUUUAUAUACUAUUGGUAAAGCUGUUUUUCUUAGUUGUGAAAUUGUUGUUUAGCCAAAAAUGCCAACUUCUGUCUUUUAGAACACUAGGCAUAAAUGGGUUAACCAAUUUAUGCCUAGUGUUCCAUUAUUGGAAUGCUAAGCAUGUGGGAUUUAUUUAUAUCCUACUGCUCAAGGUCAUCGCCAAGGGCUGAUUGCAAAAAUUCAAAAAAUUGCAACCUCAGGCAUAAAUUAAAAGAGAUAUAGUAUUUUAUUAUUGGGUUUUGAUACAUGUCUAAUCAGACUGAUUUCUGUCACAUAUAGAAAUUUAGAUACUGUAUUAAACCUAGAUGUCAUUAAUUCCAUAAAAAGCAACGUUAAAAGAAUCAGUAGCAUGUGUUACUGAUGUGUUGCUGAAGAUUAAGAUAUUUUUAAGUCUCACCGAAAAGGUAGAAGGAGCCAACUGAGACACAAAAAGGGGCUGAGGUUCUAUUCAUGGUGAGCAAGUCUUUUUUUUGUUUGUUUCUUCAAGCUCUAACAAGGGUGCCUACUACAUGGCUUUUCAGUUAGCCCCAAAAUAAAAUGUAACAAUUUUUUUUUCUAUUCUUAGGCUUUAUCUACAAAGAAAUGAAUUGGAUAAUCUUCAUAAACAAAAAACAUGGAAAAUUUAUCAACCAGAAUAUGCAGUAGAGAUAUAUUUUAAUGAGAAAUGACUUAAGUUAUGUUGUAACUGGUAGCUGAUUAAGUAUAGUUCCCUGCACCCCUUCUGGGAAAGAAUUAUGUUCUUUCUAACCCUGCCACAUAGUUAUAUGUUCUAAAUCUUCCUUGCUGGUACAUCUAUAUUGAUAUAUGUAUACACAUGUUCUUUAUAAAUCUAUUAAAUAUAUAC
rnacentral:lncRNA from 1 species